rnacentral:rRNA from 1 species
UACGGAGGGGGCUAGCGUUGUUCGGAAUUACUGGGCGUAAAGCGCACGUAGGCGGCUUUGCAAGUUAGAGGUGAAAGCCCGGAGCUCAACUCCGGAACUGCCUUUAAAACUGCAUCGCUUGAAUCCAGGAGAGGUGAGUGGAAUUUCGAGUGUAGAGGUGAAAUUCGUAGAUAUUCGCAAGAACACCAGUGGCGAAGGCGGCUCACUGGCCCGAUACUGACGCUGAGGCACGAAAAGCGUGGGGGAGCAAACAGGG